UACGGAAGGUCCGGGCGUUAUCCGGAUUUAUUGGGUUUAAAGGGAGCGUAGGCCGGAGAUUAAGCGUGUUGUGAAAUGUAGAUGCUCAACAUCUGCACUGCAGCGCGAACUGGUUUCCUUGAGUACGCACAAAGUGGGCGGAAUUCGUGGUGUAGCGGUGAAAUGCUUAGAUAUCACGAAGAACUCCGAUUGCGAAGGCAGCUCACUGGAGCGCAACUGACGCUGAAGCUCGAAAGUGCGGGUAUCGAACAGG
rnacentral:rRNA from 2 species